rnacentral:rRNA from 1 species
UACCAGCACCCCGAGUGGUCGGGACGAUUAUUGGGCCUAAAGCACCCGUAGCCGGUCCUACAAGUCUUCCGUUAAAUCCACCUGCUUAACAGAUGGGCUGCGGAAGAUACUAUAGGGCUAGGAGGCGGGAGAGGCAAGCGGUACUCAGUGGGUAGGGGUAAAAUCCUCUGAUCCAUUGAAGACCACCAGUGGCGAAGGCGGCUUGCCAGAACGCGCUCGACGGUGAGGGAUGAAAGCUGGGGGAGCAAACCGG